rnacentral:rRNA from 1 species
AUUGAACGCUGGCGGCAUGCCUUACACAUGCAAGUCGAACGGCAGCACGGGAGCAAUCCUGGUGGCGAGUGGCGAACGGGUGAGUAAUAUAUCGGAACGUGCCCAGUCGUGGGGGAUAACGUAGCGAAAGCUACGCUAAUACCGCAUACGAUCUAUGGAUGAAAGCGGGGAUCGCAAGACCUCGCGCGAUUGGAGCGGCCGAUAUCAGAUUAGGUAGUUGGUGAGGUAAAGGCUCACCAAGCCGACGAUCUGUAGCUGGUCUGAGAGGACGACCAGCCACACUGGGACUGAGACACGGCCCAGACUCCUACGGGAGGCAGCAGUGGGGAAUUUUGGACAAUGGGCGCAAGCCUGAUCCAGCAAUGCCGCGUGCAGGAUGAAGGCCUUCGGGUUGUAAACUGCUUUUGUACGGAACGAAACGGUGAGCUCUAAUACAGUUUGCUAAUGACGGUACCGUAAGAAUAAGCACCGGCUGACUACGUG